rnacentral:rRNA from 1 species
AACGUAGGAGGCGAGCGUUAUCCGGAUUUACUGGGCGUAAAGCGCACGCAGGCGGCUCUGUAAGUUGGACGUGAAAGCUCCCGGCUUAACCGGGAGAGGCCGUUCGAUACUGCGGGGCUUGAGGUAGGGAGAGGAAUGCGGAAUUCCCGGUGUAGUGGUGGAAUGCGUAGAUAUCGGGAGGAACACCUGUGGCGAAAGCGGCAUUCUGGCCCUCACCUGACGCUGAGGUGCGAAAGCGUGGGUAGCAAACAGGAUUAGAAACCCUAGUAGUCC